rnacentral:rRNA from 1 species
UACGAAGGGGGCGAGCGUUGUUCGGAAUUACUGGGCGUAAAGGGCGCGCAGGCGGCUCUGAAAGUCAGAUGUGAAAGCCCCGGGCUUAACCUGGGAAUUGCAUUUGGAUACUCUGGAGCUUGAGUGUGGGAGAGGAGAGUGGAAUUCCCAGUGUAGAGGUGAAAUUCGUAGAUAUUGGGAAGAACACCGGUGGCGAAGGCGGCUCUCUGGACCGAUACGUGACGCUGAGGCGCGAAAGCGUG